GUCAUUAGCUUGCUUCAUAGAAGUUGGUGCAAGGAUUUGGUAGCCUACCCACUGGCACCAGUAUCAGACUGAAGACAAUGCAAACUGACUACUUUUUGAAGCCUGUAGACUUGGUUUGUAAAAGAGGCGGUUACAUGCUUGGCACCAAGCAAUGGAACAGAAAACAGACCAAGAUACCAGCUUGAAUCCAGGCACGUGCACUGUGGGGCAGGAGCAGGGCCCUACCACCGUCGCCACGGUGUUCCCACCUAAUACUCGGGUGAGCCACCAGAGAAUUUUACACUGUGUAAAGCUCCUAGCAUAUAGUUAGGCACUAAUGAAUGGCAGGCAGUAAGGCACCUCGAAGCAGAUGUAAAAACUAACUCACAUUGGGAUGAUGGGUAAAAGCAGCCUUGUGCUGUGUUACAGAUGCACAGGCUGGUCUGUGCCUUCUGCACUGGUUCUCUCCAGUCCUGGACAGCUGCUUGCUGUCCAGUGAGCAGCAAACCUCACAAGCUCUUGGAUCAUCUGUGAAACAUCGUUAGACUUAUACUGUUUGCAAAAGCAGAAUUCAGACACAUUGAAAUAAAGCUGUCAUGUCAAAGCCUCACCUCACCGGA
rnacentral:lncRNA from 1 species